UACGUAGGGUGCAAGCGUUAAUCGGAAUUACUGGGCGUAAAGCGUGCGCAGGCGGUUAUGUAAGACAGGUGUGAAAUCCCAGGGCUUAACCUGGGAACUGCAUUUGUGACUGCAUCGCUGGAGUGCGGCAGAGGGGGAUGGAAUUCCGCGUGUAGCAGUGAAAUGCGUAGAUAUGCGGAGGAACACCGAUGGCGAAGGCAAUCCCCUGGGCCUGCACUGACGCUCAUGCACGAAAGCGUGGGGAGCAAACAGG
rnacentral:rRNA from 1 species